rnacentral:lncRNA from 1 species
GAGCUGCUGUGGUCAGUGCUUCUGAGCCUGCAGUUGGUGAGGGGCUAAAAUAGGCUGUAUUUCAUGGAUGUGGGUGGCCAAGAUAACAAGAGCUCCGGACUGUUGUCUGCCCCGAUACAGCUCCAACAGCACACUCUCACAACACCGGACUGAGUCACCCCAAUAUGAAGUUUUUACAGCUUUGCAGCUCGUUCUCCUUCUGGGAGGGUGUGAGGAAAUGCAGGCAAGGCUUGUUGGGAGGAAUGGAAAUGGCCACUUGCCCACCACUCCCCUGGCAGCACACGGAUUGAACUGCUGUGAAUGUUCUGCCUGAGUGAAGAAACCUUUCCCGGGAGCAGCCUGAUGAGCUCAGCACGGAGCUGCACGGCCAGAUGGCUCCUGGGCCAGAGCUGACUCACGGCCACACAGCCCAGGCAGGCAAAACACCCCGGUACCUGCAGGAGUCACCGCAGCACUGCUGCACCCGCGCUCACAGCCAGGCAGCCCCACCGGGAGAAACCCAAGGUGUCCUGCCAACUGCCAUAAUUACAGUGUUGCAGAACCGAAACGGUGACGGCCCGAGUUACAGGAACAAGCAGAAAAGCACCAGCCUGAUGAACUCCCAACCCAGCCCCGAGAAGGUAUGACCACCGAGGGAGCAGAACAGAGGCAACUCUUCCAUUCUUACAGUGGCAAAAGAUGGUUGGACUGGGCCUCCUGCUGUGGGUCAGUGUUUCCAGCCCCACAUUCCAUGAACCUGAAGGAAGUCAGGGAUGUUGCAUGGGGGCUGUGUGACUACCUGGCACAUCAUUUCUCCAGCAGUUUCGAAUCAGGAGGCCACGUCUUGGCCAUUUUCUCCCAGAUGGACUACAACACCCAUCAGGCUGAGCUUGGCUUGGAUUACAGCCCUCCCUCCCCGGAGGUUGAAAGAGGAGAAAUGUAUCAUUUGGGAACGCGAAUGGGAAAAUGAGAGCAGCUCCCCUGCUGUCUGGAUGGCAGGUGUGCCUUUCCCCUUCGCAGGAAUGAACCAAAGAAAUUCUGAAGUAGAACAAAGCCCUCUCAGAGAAAAACACAUCCCCAGAGUUGCGGCGUGAGCUGAGACAGACACGCUGGAGUUCAACUGGGUCUGCUGGAGAGGAAGGUGGAGGUGUCAGGCUGGCACCAUAAAAAGCUGGGUAAACAUCAUGCCCAAGAAGAAAUUGUGGAAGCAAUAAACCUAAUAAAAUCCUGUAUCA